AAACCGAGGUGAGUACAGAUUUCAGGCCAAGGGAGAAUUUUUCUUUACCAGUAAUAGCCCCAUAGCCCCUUUUCUGAGAAUUUUUCUUUACCAGUAAUACGUAGCCCCCAUUGUGAGAAUUUUUCUUUACCAGUUUGCCCACACUCUGAGAAUCUGAGCUGUGUUCUCUGCUUUAGAAGAUGCCUGCCCUUCCUUUUAGAAGAUAUAAAAGGAGAAUGUGGUUGGUAGUUGGAUUGUGUGCUAGCCAGGCCAGUGUUGCUCUUCAAUGGAGUUGAACGCCUUAAUACUGACCUCGCUAUCACAAUUCCGUCUGCCAAGCACCAACUACUUACCUCAAGUGUUAGCAGAUCUUCUCAAAUAAUAGCCUUUGUGGAUGACCUUGAUAGAUGCCAGGAAAAUGUUUCAUUACAGGUUUUAUCAGCUAUAAAUCUGGUGUUAGCUGAGUGCAAAAUCAAUGUUUGAUCUGAAAAUGGUUAAAGAUUGAAGGAGCAGUUACAAGGAUUUUCAAAGACAAUGAUUUUCACUUUUUAUCUGCAAAAUUAUUCAAAUUCUUUUAAAUUUGCCAAAUCCAAAUUACAUAGCUUUCUACAGCACCUAUUGAUGGAGAUACAAAUAAAUGGGAAGCUUUCUACAAAACCUAUUGUUGGAGAUACAGACAUGAUUGUUAAAAUCAUAUAACCUUUGUAAAUUCUAUACGCGUCGUUUGUGAUUUAUUUGAAAAAUGGUGUUGAUAAUGAUAAUGAUAUCAAUGUCCAUAAAAUGAUAGAAUUAGUCCAUGGGACACUCUAUGAUAUGGGACACUCUAUGAUGAGGAAAAAUGGUGGCCCACAAAUGUAAAGAUUUGGGACAUUGAACUCAAAACUUCUCUUUAUUCCGCAAAUUUAAAGUGGAAUUUUUGCUAUUUUUUAUUUUUAUAAUAGGUAAAGUUAAAAAUUAUAGUGAAAUUUGAUUGGUCAAGGUUUAACAAGAA